GGGCGGCUAGCUCAAUCGGUAGAGCAGAUGCCUCUUAAGCAUCCGGUUCAGGGUUCGAGUCCCUGGCCGCUCACCA
rnacentral:tRNA from 1 species